UACGGAGGGGGCUAGCGUUGUUCGGAAUUACUGGGCGUAAAGCGCGCGUAGGCGGCUUUGUAAGUUAGAGGUGAAAGCCCGGAGCUCAACUCCGGAAUUGCCUUUAAGACUGCAUCGCUAGAAUCAUGGAGAGGUGAGUGGAAUUCCGAGUGUAGAGGUGAAAUUCGUAGAUAUUCGGAAGAACACCAGUGGCGAAGGCGGCUCACUGGCCCGUUACCGACGCUCAGGCGCGGCAGCGUGGGGAGCAAACAGG
rnacentral:rRNA from 1 species